rnacentral:rRNA from 1 species
UACGUAGGGGGCAAGCGUUGUCCGGAAUCAUUGGGCGUAAAGCGCGCGUAGGCGGCCCGGUAAGUCCGCUGUAAAAGUCAAGGGCUCAACCCUUGAACGCCGGUGGAUACUGCCGGGCUAGAGUCCGGAAGAGGCGAGUGGAAUUCCUGGUGUAGCGGUGGAAUGCGCAGAUAUCAGGAGGAACACCAAUAGCGAAGGCAGCUCGCUGGGACGUUACUGACGCUGAGACGCGAAAGCGUGGGGAGCAAACAGG